GGCAGUGUGGCAUAGCGGUUUGAGCAUUGGACUCUGAAUUGGAGACCAGGGUUCGAUUCCCAGCUCAGCCA